rnacentral:rRNA from 1 species
UACGGAGGGGGCAAGCGUUGUUCGGAAUUACUGGGCGUAAAGGGCUCGUAGGCGGCCAACUAAGUCGGACGUGAAAUCCCCAGGCUCAACCUGGGAACUGCGUCCGAUACUGGAUGGCUUGAAUCCGGGAGAGGGAUGCGGAAUUCCUGGUGUAGCGGUGAAAUGCGCAGAUAUCAGGAGGAACACCAAUGGCGAAGGCAGCUCGCUGGGACGGUACUGACGCUGAGACGCGAAAGCGUGGGGAGCAAACAGG